GGUUAAGUUUGAGCGCCACUUUGGGUGUAGAGAUUACUUAAAAAUAAAAUCUUGAAAAACAAAAUAAAACAUGGGAGUUCAUUAGUCACUAAGCCAUGCUCAUGCAUGCCCAGUGAGGUUUCAAAUCAGCUUUGAAUGUUCCUUGAGUAUGAAGGAAUGGCUAAGGAUCACGGAGAGCUGCAGAAAGCCUCCAACAAAAAGAAAAAGACCAAAACCAACAAAAAAAAAAAAGUUUUAGAGGAACCAAAAAUAAUACAAGAAACAAAGAAAUUAUAAUUAAUAUUCUUGAAGAGGUAACAGAAGUGCUACACCCAUGAAAAAAGAACAAGAUGCUACAAUACAGGACCAAAGAACAAGAGUUCAUAAAACAUUGUUUUAAAAGAGAGCUAAAAUUUAAAAAUUCAAUGAAAAGGUUGAAAUCUCCCAGAUCACAGCAACUUUUUGAGAUCAAAUUUCUCAACAUCAACACUGGAAGCUAGGCAAUAUGGGAACACCUCCAAACUUUUGAGGGAAAAUGAUUUCCAAUAUACAAACCUCUCAACAGCCAGUCAACUGUGAGGGUAAAAAUAAAAUCCAGCCCCCCCCAAAAAAAUUAUUUCCAACAUACACUUCCACAGUAAUAGUAGAGGAAACCAAAAUGAAGGAAUAAACCAAAAGGAACACAUAGGAUCCAGAAAAAAGGGACUCAACAAAAGUGAAAGAAAUUCUCAGAAUGUCAGCUAAGGGAAGUCCCAAGAUGACAGCUUUGCAGCAGGCCUAAAGAGAAAACAAUCCAGACUAAAGCAGGAAGAAAGACAGCUACAGAAGAGAGGACUACAAGAACAAAUAGAACUGGAAAAAAGAAUAUGGCUGAAAAUUCUCUCCGAAGGGUGGUGGUAUUCCAAAGAGGACCCCAGAAAACACUUGAGAAUACGGAGCGGUGCGGAAGGUACCUUAUGAAACAGCACACUUCGGGCCCUGCACACUACCUCAUUUCCCUAAUAGGGAUGAAAAGCUCGGGCCUCUGGUAGCUUCCAGCUGACGCCAAUGCUCUCCACACCCCUUUUUUGACAGUAUUUUCUGGCGCUGGAGCCUGUGGUCACAAAUACGAAUUCCGCGAUCACGUCUAAACGGUCUAAAUAAUCAAGAAUCUUUUACAAGACCAAACCCUUCGCGAUCCCAUCACCUCCCAUCUCCCUCCGUAGUCCAGCACACCUAAGCGGGUACUCUAGACCGAAUUCUACAAAUCUUUCAGCGCAUUAACUGGGAGAUAGAAACAAUAUUUAAAAAUGAGAGUUUCGGGCAUUCCCCUCGCUGCAACUGAAAUUACAGGCUCCAUUUCCUGUCCCCAAAGGGACUGCAAAAUCGUCCGCUGAGAACGGGACGCCUCCCGCCCCCUCCAGGCUGGCGCCCGCGACCGCCACACUCCCCCUGCCCGGGCCCCGCGGGCGCGAGGAGGUGGCGGGGACGCGGGGACCCGGGGCGCCCUCCCCUCCCCCUCCCAGCGUCAGCACCCACCUCGCGGCAGCGGCUUCACCUCCCCGUUCUCCUCCCGGGCGGCCCCGCUGGCCUCGCCUGCCCCGCCGAGGCCGUGCCUCCUCCUUUCCUUCUCUCGCUUCUCCUUGGGUCGGCGCGGCUUGGCGUUGGCCGAGGAGGUGGCGGCCGGGAGCAAGAGAUGGUGAGGCUGAGCGUGCAGCAGCGUAGGAGGGACCAGCAGUUUGCGCGGCACCGGCUGAGAUGA